rnacentral:rRNA from 1 species
GACGAACGCUGGCGGCGUGCCUAAUACAUGCAAGUCGAACGCAGUGGGGACGGGUGAGUAACACGUGGGUAACCUCCCAUCAGAGGGGAUAACACUUGGAAUCCGGUGCUAAACCGAUACUGAUGGAUGGACCCGCGGUUCAUUAGCUAGUUGGUGAGGUAACGGCUCCCCAAGGCCACGAUGCAUAGCCGACCUGAGAGGGUGAUGAGCCACACUGGAACUGAGACAUGGCCCAGACUCCUACGGGAGGCAGCAGUGGGGAAUCUUCGGCAAUGGACGAAAGUCUGACCGAGCAACGCCGCGUGUGUGAAGAAGGUUUUCGGAUCGUAAAACUCUGUUGUUAGAGAAGCGGUAUCUAACCAGAAAGCCACGGCUAACGACGUGCCAGCAGCCGCGGUAAUUC